GAAUUUUGAAUUCAAAAUUUAAGUUCAUGUGCCAUUACAUGAUGAAGCUUCAUCUAAUCUAAACCAUUCAUCAUGUUGCCACUUUCCUCUUUCAAUUUCGAAAUUCCCAUGCCCCCAAUCAAAUUAGAGGGUCACAUGGUGAUUUUGUGGUGAUUAAAUUCGAAAUUCAACCUUAAUUAGAAGUGAGAUAAAGAUAAGGAUGACAUAUGUCAUGAAGAGAGAGAAUUUGAUCUUAUCCAAUUCUUUUCAUAAAUUUAUCUCUCCAUU
rnacentral:lncRNA from 1 species